rnacentral:SRP_RNA from 1 species
GGGUUUGCUUGUUGCCACUCCCUGGGGUGCUGUCGGCAUUGCUGGUCCCUGGACCUUCGGGGCUCGCUGGGGUGGUUCCAGUCCUGAAAGGACUGGUCCA